UGAGACCAUGCAACUUUUAGGAUAUUUGCUUUUAAGCGAUGUGUUUUCUGUGUUGCGUUUGUAUCGGUAAACACUGAGAUUAUUGGUUUAUCUUCCACUAAAACGGCACAGCCUGAAAAUUGCCGCGGGCAUUGCCAUUGUCUACGGUAAGAUAUCUGUGCCUAAAUUACUAUGGCGCGUUUUUCAUUGCCCGUGUGCCCAUCACGUGGCGAUGAAACCCAUGCGCCUACACGCGUAUAAUUUAUAGUCUGUAUUAGCAGAAUCUAGAGGAGGUCGCGUAAAUGUGAUUAAGUCCUUUCCUGUAUAGUUAAGUCUUGGUCGACCAGUUGGUGUGAUCUACUGUACGUUUAACUACAAAUCACGGAUAAUGCAACAGCUAUUUAAACGUGGAACAGAAUGCCUGGGAAUUAAAUCGGCCCGAUCUCUAAUCUGCGUCUAACCGACGCCAUCAAGAGACAUUUGUACUCCUACGCAACGCUGGGCGGUGUUUGACGCGCAUGAAAAGCGACGGAUCUAUUUCCCACAUUCUCUAGGCAAGAAAUAAUGGCAACCAAAACCGAACGAAUCUUACUGGAGCUUCAAUUAAUAAACUACGAACAGCAAAUUAUCUGCCUAGAAUUGCAACGACGGAAAAGAUUGCGUUCCCGGAGACGAUGGUAUGAGGACGGGAAGCGUAUAACAAACCGGCUCGUGCUCAUCCCGGACACAACCGGGCAUAAAGGCGGUGUAGAACAUGAUGGAGGCCGUAAUUUGGGGGGGAAUCUCGAUAAACUGUGAGCUGUAGAAUCUUCAACUGGUACUGCUGCCUAGAUAUGUGAUCUAAAUGAGAUGACUUUUUUUUUGUUUAUAGUUUUUAAUAUCUGCUUCUCCCUGUACAAUAAAUAAAACUAAUUUCACUUGAA